rnacentral:misc_RNA from 1 species
UUUCCGUAGGUGAACCUGCGGAAGGAUCAUUCAUAAUAAGUGUUUUAUGGCACUUUUUUAAAUCCAUAUCCACCUUGUGUGCAAUGUCAGGGUUGAUUUUUCUCUCGAGAGGAUCGGCCCCAAACAUCAACUAUAUCUCAACUCUUUGUCUGAAAAAUAUUAUGAAUAAAACAAUUCAAAAUGCAACUUUCAACAACGGAUCUCUUGGCUCUC